rnacentral:antisense_RNA from 1 species
UUUUAUGGCGGCUCGAGCAGGGAGCCGCGAGGCUCGCCGGUUCUCGCAGGAGCUGCCCGGUACGCCAACCUGUUCGAGCCGCCGCCCUC